CGACCUUGUCACCCACUGCCACCUGUUAUCCCGAGGGCCCCUCCAAGACACCUGCUGAGCCUGAGAGCUACCUGCAGAAGAUGCCACCCCCCUGGGGCCCUGCUCACUCCUGGUUCAGUGAACAACCUAGACAACUGGCCCUGUCUGUUCUGCAGGGCCCAUGAGUGCCCACACACGAUUAGAACGGCUUUCCUGCCGGGAGUCUGACCACUCACAGCUCACUCAGAUUCCGUGCUGAGCCCAGGGCAGCGGGAGAGUCCUCUGGGCUCCAUGACCAGCGGGUCAGGGGCGGGACUUGGUUCCGGGUCCCAGUGCUGCUCCGAGCUUGGCUCUCCCUCCCCUCUGCUCUCCCAAGAGUGCACGUGGACAUUUUCCACCACGCACACAGGAGUGAACAAGACGGCUGUUUUCUUUUACUUCCUGUGACUUUCUGUCAACCUCUUCUUUUUGUGUGUGUGUCAACCUCGUCUUAACCUCAACCUAAGCAUCUUUCCCCACGGGACUCACAACCUGAAAAUCUCGCUCAUUUGUAGAUAAGACAAAUCAACCUGCACUGUAAGCUGUGAUGGUCUCCGUAGCUGGCAGCUGGCAGCUGGCAGCUUUACCCAGUGUGAGGGCGGUCGAACACUACGGUGAACAUUUAGAUCCGGCCACCUCCGAAAACUCCCACCUGUGACUGCAUGAGGCUUUGGAGGACAGCUAGACACAGCCACUGCCCUCCCCAGCUGGCUCCUGUGCACAUUUGCACCUGGGAUGCCCAGGUGCUCCUGCAGAUGGGCGCCAGAGCCCCCCGCAGGUCUGAAGCAGCAAUGCUGGCUGGGCGAGCGGCUGAGGACAGCUGAUUGUCCGUGACACAGAGUCCUGGCUCUUACAGGUUCACCAAGGGUCAGAAGAGAGUACAACAGACACCACGCGCCCCUUACUAACCCUAAGCCAGCCGUGAAUAAGGCACCCCCUUGCCAAGCAGCUGCCCACCCCGAAGAUAAGGCCUCAAAGGCAGGUCAAGGGCAGUGAACGGGCAGAAAGCUCCACGGGGACCACGUCAGUCAGAGGCGCCCGGAAGCCAAGCCAGCUACGGCAGGUUCAUCCUCCUGGAGCCCCCGCCCCGAUUCCUUCUUAACCAGCCAGCUGUCUUCUCCUUCUCUCUCCCCUUCCUUUUCCUCUUCACAAAUCAAAUGUCUUCCUUUCCUUAAACCCAGUCCCUCAGACUCGUUACUGGGGUUGAGCUCAUGAUCCCCACAGACUGCUC
rnacentral:lncRNA from 1 species